rnacentral:rRNA from 1 species
CAGUCGCCGCGGGAAUACGUAGGGUGCAAGCGUUAAUCGGAAUUACUGGGCGUAAAGCGUGCGCAGGCGGUUCUAUAAGACAGAUGUGAAAUCCCCGGGCUCAACCUGGGAACUGCAUUUGUGACUGUAGAGCUGGAGUACGGCAGAGGGGGAUGGAAUUCCGCGUGUAGCAGUGAAAUGCGUAGAUAUGCGGAGGAACACCGAUGGCGAAGGCAAUCCCCUGGGCCUGUACUGACGUUCAUGCACGAAAGCGUGGGGAGCAAACAGGAUUAGAUACCCCUGUAGUCCCUGUCUCUUAUAC